UGGGGAAUAUUGGACAAUGGGCGAAAGCCUGAUCCAGCCAUGCCGCGUGUGUGAAGAAGGUCUUCGGAUUGUAAAGCACUUUAAGUUGGGAGGAAGGGCAGUAAGCGAAUACCUUGCUGUUUUGACGUUACCGACAGAAUAAGCACCGGCUAACUCUGUGCCAGCAGCCGCGGUAAUACAGAGGGUGCAAGCGUUAAUCGGAAUUACUGGGCGUAAAGCGCGCGUAGGUGGUUCGUUAAGUUGAAUGUGAAAGCCCCGGGCUCAACCUGGGAACUGCAUCCAAAACUGGCGAGCGAGAGUAGGGCAGAGGGUGGUGGAAUUUCCUGGGUAGCGGUGAAAAGCGUAGAUAUAGGAAGGAGCACCAGUGGCGAAGGCGACCACCUGGGGUCAUACUGACACUGAGGUGCGAAAGCGUGGGGGGCAAACAGG
rnacentral:rRNA from 1 species